rnacentral:SRP_RNA from 1 species
GCGUGGUAACGCGAGCCUGUAACCCGAGUGGGGGCAUUAAGGUGAUGGAACGUCAGUUCGGCCCAAUGGCCCGGAUUCGAUGUAGCUGUCUACUGGCUUGCCCGUUCCAAGCCGGGAGUUGAGCCGUGCGANAUUGAGCGGAGGCUCGGCUCGCACCUCUGCUGGAGUGGAGGGUACCGCGUGAGCUGGCUUCACAGAGCAGCGCUUACCUCCCGGUCCUGGCAGUGGAAGGAUAACGGCCCGGUGCUAGGUGGCUCCAAUAUGUUCUACUGGCUAAACAUGAUUGGGCAUACCUUUU